rnacentral:misc_RNA from 1 species
GAUGAAGAACGUAGCGAAAUGCGAUACGUAAUGUGAAUUGCAGAAUUCAGUGAAUCAUCGAAUCUUUGAACGCACCUUGCACCCUUUGGCAUUCCGAAGGGUAUGCUCGUUUGAGUGUCAUUGUACUCUCACACUUCCGAUCUUUGGAUUGGGAGCGGUGGACUUGGGUGUUGCUGCUUACUGUGGCUCACCUCAAAUCGAUUCGUGCACCUCUUGGUUGGACAUAGUACGGCGUGAUAAGUGUCUUCGCCGGCACCUCAGUAGAGGGUGGCUGAUCGGGAGCUCUGCUUCAAACCGUCCUCGGACAACAACUGACAACUUGACCUCAAAUCGAGUAGGACUACCCGCUGAACUUAAGCAUAUCAAUAAGCGGAGGA